CCGGGCCGGGAAGGUCCGCCUCACCGCGUGUACUUGACCGGCCGGGCCUUUCCUUCUGGAGAACCUCAUGCCCUUCACUGGGCGUGCUGGGGAACCAGGACUUUUACUUUGAAAAAAUUAGAGUGUUCAAAGCAGGCCUUUGCUCGAAUACGUUAGCAUGGAAUAAUAGAAUAGGACGUGCGGUCCUAUUUUGUUGGUUUCUAGGACCGCCGUAAUGAUUAAUAGGGACAGUCGGGGGCAUCAGUAUUCAAUUGUCAGAGGUGAAAUUCUUGGAUUUAUUGAAGACUAACUACUGCGAAAGCAUUUGCCAAGGAUGUUUUCAUUAAUCAGUGAACGAAAGUUAGGGGAUCGAAGACGAUCAGAUACCGUCGUAGUCUUAACCGUAAACUAUGCCGACUAGGGAUCGGGCGAUGUUCUCAUUUUGACUCGCUCGGCACCUUACGAGAAAUCAAAGUUUUUGGGUUCUGGGGGGAGUAUGGUCGCAAGGCUGAAACUUAAAGGGGAGCCUGCGGCUUAAUUUGACUCAACACGGGGAAACUCACCAGGUCCAGAUGAAAAUAAGGAUUGACAGAUUGAGAGCUCUUUCUUGAUUUUUCAGUGUGUGCAUGGCCGUUCUUAGUUGGUGGAGUGAUUUGUCUGCUUAUUGCGAUUACGACGAGACCUUACCUGCUAAAU
rnacentral:rRNA from 1 species